GACGAACGCUGGCGGCGUGCUUAACACAUGCAAGUCGAACGGAAAGGCCCUGCUUUUGUGGGGUGCUCGAGUGGCGAACGGGUGAGUAACACGUGAGUAACCUGCCCUUGACUUUGGGAUAACUUCAGGCAACUGGGGCUAAUACCGGAUAGGAGCUCCUGCUGCAUGGUGGGGGUUGGAAAGUUUCGGCGGUUGGGGAUGGACUCGCGGCUUAUCAGCUUGUUGGUGGGGUAGUGGCUUACCAAGGCUUUGACGGGUAGCCGGCCUGAGAGGGUGACCGGCCACAUUGGGACUGAGAUACGGCCCAGACUCCUACGGGAGGCAGCAGUGGGGAAUAUUGCACAAUGGGCGGAAGCCUGAUGCAGCAACGCCGCGUGCGGAAUGACGGCCUUCGGGUUGUAAACCGCUUUCGCCUGUGACGAAGCGUGAGUGACGGUAAUGAGUAAAGAAGCACCGGCUAACUACGUG
rnacentral:rRNA from 1 species